CCAGUGCUCUUCUGGUUCUGAGAAGGUCACAGGUGCAGUUCCAAGGGUUUCCGUCUAAAUACAGAUGACGAAGACGGGGAGACCUUAUGGCAACAGAACUGACAAAGAGUCACAGAACUUUAUGAGCACAAGCGUAGCGGGAAGAUGUGAGCUAUGCUGAA